UAUUAUAUACUCUAACAGUUAUUGCUUCACUAAUGUUGGAUGGGCUACUGCUUUCCCUACAAUACGAUGCUUCAACUGAUAUUUGCUUUGAGAAAUUCAAUGUCCCUUUGCAGAGGGAGAUGCACAAAAAAAGGUUCAUCCUCGUUUAUGUACAUGAUCAUGGGUUGUAGAUAGACUCCAAGCAACAACUGAGCGUUGUUCUUCAUCUUGAACUGAUGUUGUGCGACGUUUCUUCUCAGUACUGUAAACAGCUCCAACAGUUUAAAAGCUGAACAAUACCAAUUGUUGGAUGCUUCAGAGGCUGAAUAUUUUUUAAAAAGGCAAGAGUUUUGGAUACUGGAAGAUGUGAAGCUGAACGAGAAACCAGAAGGCGUGUGACAUUGAGACCUUCUGAGGAGAUCAGGAGAAUAUUGAGAGAGCAGAUGAGUAUACUUUAUGCUGAUACUGUACGUGUAAAAGUGAUACCACCAUACCAGAAGAAAGGAACCGAUUUCUGCAAUGUAAAACAGAAACAUUAGAGGCCGCGCGAACGCAGGCCCCCACUACCACAAAUUAUGACGUAGACUCUCCCAUUUGAGGAGAUCUUAGGCUGCUGCCCCUCCUUAAAGUGCAAUGGAAGUCAACAACCUAGGCCAUAAGCCUAUUUGAUCACUUAUAGACCCCGUCCAGAGAGGAGAUGCACAAAAAAGGUUGAUCCUCGUUUAUGUACAUGAUCAUGGGUUGUAGAUAGACUCCAAGCAACAUUUGAGCGUUGGGCUUCAUCUUGAACUGAUGUUGUGCGACAUUUCUUCUCAGUACUGUAAACAGCUCCAACAGUUUAAAAGCUGAACAAUACCAAUUCUUGGAUGCUUCAGAUGCUGAAUAUUUUUUAAAAAGGCAAGAGUUUUGGAUACUGGAGCGGUGAGUAUUUCUGCUAAUUUUGUUCCUGAUCUUGAAAUAUUGAUAUUGGAUAACAUCUUGCCACAUAGGGCCAAUUUAAACUGUAAACAGCUCCAACAAGGAAAUUUCUUGGAUGCCUCAAAAUCUGAAUAGCUUCAGAGAAGUAUUUUGUGCAGUCCUGUUUGUGUUUGAAGUGGGGUUAGCUCUUCCAUCUCUAAUAUAGCCUUAAGCAGUAACGGAGUUCCAGAAGUUCUUUUUACAUUGUAUUAUUUCUCGUUUUUCGGGAUUACGUACGCUCCUCCGUCCUAGACUUCGUGAAAGGAUGAUUAUUAAUGAGGCAUGACGUUUUGGAUUUAGGCGAGAUGCAAUAGUUUAUCUUUUGAGGUAAAGGAGGUGUUAUGAAUAUAGCAUUGCCGGUCCAAUCAAUGAGGUGAUUCCCGUUUCUGACCUAGUCACUCAGAAGCUUCCUUGAUUGUGUAUGAAGUACCUGUUCAUGUUACAAAGCCCAAUUUAUCAAUCUUUAUCCUCAUAUGCGACAUAGCGCCUUUUUGUUCUCAUUUCUCAACCUUCUUUGUUUCAAGGCUUCCAACUUCUUCUGAUGUUUUGAUCCUGCCUUAUGUUCUCAUCCUGAACGAACAUGAAGUGUGGAGUCUACUUGCUAUUAGGAUUUAAUGUGUUUUCUUAUCCCAAACCAUAUGUGAAACAGUGAUCUGAGUGCAAGCAAACAAAUAAAAAGAGAUUUAUGAAUGCUUUGAUACUCAUACCUUUCUCGGCCUUUUGGCUAAGAUCAAGUGUAGUAUCUGUUCUUAUCAGUUUAAUAUCUGAUACGUGGGUCAUUGACCCACAAUGAUAUUAAAUUUAUUUUUUAAGGGGGAAGGUCCACCACAGUAGCUUGCUAUUGGGGCCUUCAGGUGUCGCCCAUGUGUUGCACUACUGCAAGGGCCUGGCACGCCCCUCCGAACUAUUCUAAAUAUUUAAUUUUAACAUCAGAUUGGAAUCUUUAACAUCACUAUUAUUGCUUUAUAUUGGGGCCUCUAGGUGUUGCAUAUGUCCUUGCACUGUGCAAGGGCGCCCCAUACAAAUCAUUCAUUAAAUUACCUGGUUCAUGACUGACACAUAUCUGUUGAAUCAUUUAGUGAGAUAUAUUUAAAAAUUGGUAUGCUUAUUGGCCUAAGCUGUAAUGUAGCUUCAUAAUAAGGUGCUUGUCAUGUGCAAUGAUAAACAGAUCUUUAAAAUUGGUAUGCUUAUUGAACUGCACAUAAUCUCUUGUCAUGUAGCUUCAUAAUAAGCUGUAGUGUAGCUUUGUAAUAAGGUGCUUGAAAUAAUAACUGUCAUUAGUAGAAAUUUCUGGUUCUAUACUCUUCAAAUUGGUAAUGUUAGGGACACAUACUUGUUGUACAAGUAAUGACCAAUAUGUGUUGGUCAGUGUCGUGGAAGUAAAUUAUGAGUUUUACUUUGGAUUGAAACCACCAAAGGGAUUUUAGGAAUGGACGAAGCUCGUCAUCUUUAUAACUCACUUGCCUUUGAUACAUUGUGGACACUCAUGAUAUCUUAAGGUAGUGCAUGUGUAUACAUUUCUUACAACUGUGAAGUUGAACGAGAAACCAGAAGGCGAUGAGGACGUGAUUGAAUCAGAAUGCUAUGUGACCCCGUCUUUUGGGAAGAAGGGCUUUGAUUCUGUGAAUCAAGCAGAUUGUUAAUCUACAAUCUUUCUUGAUGUUGCGUCUAUGUUGUUGACUAGUUGCUUGUAUAUGUGACCCUUUGCAGAGAGGAGAUGCAAAAAAAGGUUGGUUCUUGUUUAUGUUCUUGAUCGUAAGUUGUAGAUAGACUCCAACCAAUAUUUGAGAGUUUUACUUAAUUAUUGUAAACAGCUCCAACAGUUGAACAAUACCUGAUCUUGGUUGCUUCAGAUGCUGAAUAUAUUUUAAAAAGCAAGAGUUUUGGAUACUGGAGAGGCGAGUAUUUCUGCCAAUUUUCCCUUCAUACAUAAUCAAUCGCAUAUCAUGUUUUACGUCUGCAUUGUGAGAAUAGCAUAAAUAUUAGUAUGUGAAAAUCACAGAAUAGUCUGUUGUCACAUCAUCAUUUGGAAUUCUGUUUGAGAAGUUAAGAGUGAAGCAAGGAGAGCUAGACAAGAUUUGACUUUUGUAUCCUGAGAUUACUUGGGAGUAGUUACAAAUACUACCGUCUGAAGAUACAGAUAUAGAUAUAGAAUAACUAUAUGAUAUCUGCUUGUUUGGAGCAGUAAAAAAUAAGCAGUACUUUGUUAACAACUAAUGAGCUACUUUGUCCCACAUCGAUAGCUUAAGAAUAAAUUUCCGUUUUUAUAUUGUUCAAAGGUUAGAAAAUGCUUGUCUCUUCGGAGACAUCUGAUAAAAUUGGAACGAUACAGAGAAGAUUAGCAUGGCCCCUGCGCAAGGAUGACACGCACAAAUCGAGAAAUGGUCCAAAUUUUU